rnacentral:rRNA from 1 species
GACGAACGCUGGCGGCGUGCCUAAUACAUGCAAGUCGAACGCAGUGGGGACGGGUGAGUAACCCGUGGGAAACCUCCCAUCAGAGGGGAUAACACUUGGAAACAGGUGCUAAACCGAUACUGAUGGAUGAACCCGCGGUGUAUUAGCUAGUUGGCGGGGUAACGGCGCACCAAGGCCACGAUGCAUAGCCGACCUGAGAGGGUGAGCGGCCACACUGUGACUGGGACACGGCCCAGACUCCUACGGGAGGAAGCAGUGGGGAAUCUUCGACAAUGGACGAAAGUCUGACCGAGCAACGCCGCGUGGGUGAAGAAGGUUUUCGGAUCGUAAAGCUCUUUUAGUAGGGAGGCGGUAUCUAACCAGAAAGCCACGGCUAACUCCGUGCCAGCCGCCGCGGUAAUUC